AUGGCUCAGGAUGAACGCUAGCGGCAGGCUUAACACAUGCAAGUCGAGGGGCAUCGGGAGUAGCAAUACUUGCCGGCGACCGGCGCAAGGGUGCGUAACGCGUGAGCAACAUGCCCGUAUCAGGGGGAUAAUCCAUGGAAACGUGGUCUAAUACCCCAUAGUAAUUAUGUAAGGCAUCUUAUAUAAUUUAAAGCUUUGGUGGAUACGGAUUGGCUCGCGUGACAUUAGCUAGAUGGUAAGGUAACGGCUUACCAUGGCUACGAUGUCUAGGGGUUCUGAGAGGAAGGUCCCCCACACUGGAACUGAGACACGGUCCAGACUCCUACGGGAGGCAGCAGUGAGGAAUAUUGGACAAUGGAUGGAAAUCUGAUCCAGCCAUGCCGCGUGCAAGGAAGACGGCCCUAUGGGUUGUAAACUGCUUUUGUAUGGGAGCAAUAAGGGCUACGCGUAGUCCGAUGAGAGUACCAUACGAAUAAGCACCGGCUAACUCCGUGCCAGCCGCGGC
rnacentral:rRNA from 1 species